UUGGUUAAAGCAAUCUGUGCUGAAGCUUCUCGACUGAGACCAGGCUGAGAGGGUGGUUUCAACGGGACAUUCUUUCAUAUUGCUGAGUUAUAAAUUCAGGUGUCCCAGGCAACUUGACGACACAGAAGAGUGAUGGGAACCUUUCGAAAGACCAAUUCGACUUCUCAAGCCGACCCUCUGGAACUCUGCUCAGUUGCUGAGGGGUCCAAUUGGGAUUUCAAUUUCAAAACUGAAUUUGUGUCAAAUGAGGCUGCUGGUGCUCAGGAGAACUCACAGUGCGUUUGAAAGUGACAUUAUUGUUUGGGGCAAAAACAGAGAGAGCUGGAAAAAGUCAGCAGGUCAGGCAACAU